rnacentral:snRNA from 1 species
AGCUGUGCGCACUGGCAGUAUCGUAGCCAAUGAGGUUUAUCCGAGGUGCGAUUAUUGCUAAUAGAAACA